GGGGUUAUGGCGUAACCUGGUAGCGCGGCAGUCUCCAGAACUGCAUGCCGGAGUUCAAAGCCAUAAGGUCUUAAUGACCUUUAGCUAUGCGUUUCUCCGUGACCCCA
rnacentral:tRNA from 1 species